UGAGACUUUUCCCCGUGAUGCCUCCUCAAAGGUAUGGCCAUCUCGUCAGAACUUCAUGGCAAACGGCGGUAGGUACGGAGAGUCUGGGGGGCCCUGCGUCCAUCUGCAGUGAUGCUUAAGAGCCCCAGACUGGUGCUGUGUGGCCCUCACCCCAAGGCCACCCUUGGCAUCAAACACCAGGCUUCCACCUGCCCUUGUGCCUUGCGGGUGUCAAGCUGCUUGCCAACUCUGGCAGCCAAGCGAAUUCAGAAGCUAAACAAAGGCAGGGGACAGAGGAACUUGGAAGCAGUCUGUAUAAUGAGAGCUUAUGUGCCAGCUAAGAAGCCUCACCGUUUCUCAGGAUGGUGUUGUUCAGGCUGAUGUCCAGGACAGUGUUUUCCAGUACAAAUUCAAUGUGCGAGGGGGAGAAUUGUGUUAGACUGGGAGACACCAACUGUGGAACAGGAGAAUGAGCGCUUAUGAUGCACCCACUGGGUGCCAGGUGCCCUGCUGGGUAUUUUUAUGUGCACUGUCUCUGAGCCCCACUUAACUCUGCCGGGUAAGCUUUGUUCCACCUUGCAGAUGAGGACCUGAGAUUCAGAGAGGUUAAGUAACUGGCCAAAAUGCACACAGCACUAAGUGGGGAAUCAGGAUCCAUCUACCUUCAGAGUCCCAUGUUUCUCCACCAACAUUCCUCUGGCCCCUUACCAGAAAGAGACCUCAAGUGGGCAGCUGCGGGAGGUUGAGAACUACCAGUUGGUGUGGAGGUUCCCAAGGAAAAGUGUCCCAGAAUCUGUUUGCUCUCAGAUCACUGCCACAAGACUGGGCUACAGGAUAAAUUGCCCCACAGUAACACCUGGAAAGCUUCAGCAGGUGGCUUUCCCCAUCAUCAUCAUCGUCAUCAUCGUCGUCGUCAUUACGGUUGUCGUGCUGCCCAGCUUAACAACUGAUGAAACCCUUGCACAUCCCUUCUUUGAUUCGAACUUACGUCACCCUGGGCGGGAGGAGUCAUUAUUCUGCCCAUUUUUCAGAUGAACAAAAUGAAACUCAGAAAUCCUUUCUCCUGGAACCCUCCUUUCUAGGGAGCUCCCUUUGGGCCACAGAGCUCUCAGGGCAGCCCCUCUGAGGGAUGGGGUGGGAAGGCAGGGAACAGGCUCCCCAUCCUGGGCAGUAAGGGGCCCUGCUAAAUAUCUGUGGCUGAGUCCUCACCCAGGUGAGGGAGGAAGAAGGCAAGCCGAGUGGAUUACUGAGCAUUUGAACUCAGCCUCAGAACAGCAAAUAUUGAUUCAAGAAGCUGCCCAAAGGAGCUGACAUUUUUAUAGUCAACAAAUAAAGCCGAGCCUCUCCCAGCCCCCCUUCAUCAAAGGCCCUUUCUCCCCACAGCUGUCAGGGCACGUUUCUGUCAUCAGCGCCUGGGAAGAGGAGGAAGAACCAGUGGGAGACGUUCACAGGGCCCCGGCUGAUGUCACCGCUUCACCUUUAGAGAGAACAGGGAGCCCCAGGCCCCAGGGCUGAGACCUCAGCCAGCCAGCUGGCCCCACAGGUGCCAGAGUCCCUCUGGGUAGAGAGAACCUGGCACUAGAGCCCCCAGAGACGAAAGACACGCCUCCCACACGCAGCUUCCUCCUGUGGCGGCUCGGGGCCCUCAUUCACAAGGAAGGACCUGAGGCCCAGAGAGAUAACUGGGUCUCCAAGGUAAACAGCGAGGUCUGCCCAGGUCUUCCGCUUCAAGGCAGCAGGGAGGGCCAGCUCUCACCAGGCUGGAAAUGAGAGGUGAUCAGCCCUCUUUGCUCUGCCUAUGGGACCCAGAGCCUGGCAUUCACGCGCCUGCCCUCCUGCUUCGCUCAGGAAGGUCCCUCUACCUGCAUCCCUCCCUUCCCGAACCCUUAUGGACCACCCAUCAUUCAGGGCCUUGCUCACCUGUCACCGCUUCAGGACGUCCUCCCAGCUCUCUCCCCCCUCCCCCCACCUCCAGGCGGCAGAAGUCACUGCUCUUUCCUCAGUGCUCCUGAAGCACAGGCUUGCUUCCUGUCUUAUCCCGCUUAGGCUGUUUCACCCUGGGCGGUUCCUCCCUCGGAACCCUCUCUUAGUCCUUCCAGGCCAAGAGGAGCAGGGGCUGUGCUUGAUCCAUUCCCGUUGCCCCAGAAGAGCCCAGAAAAGGGUCGGGCAUUUGAAAGAUGCUCCUUCAGUGCCUGUGGAAUUGAAUCAUAUCAAUCUAAUACUCAGGCACCACUAAGAACCCCUAGGAGCAAAUUUAGCUGCAUCUGGACUCAGGAAGGAAGCAGACAAGCCCCCGGUAGGCCCACCGUAGGAGGGAGGCUUAAGCCCUUUGUUCCUUUACUUGUCACCUUGCCGCUCAGCCUCCUUUCAUCCAUCCAUCCAUCCCCUGGGUUGAGCGUCUGCUCUGGGUCAGGCCCUGGUUGGGUGCUGGGAAGGCGUGGGGAGGAGGGGUGAUGGUACACAGCUCUGCGCUCAUCUGGAGCUUCUGGGCACGCCAGGGUACAUGGCCCAGGGAACACAGGAGGCCUUUCCUCUCCCACGCUGGUCUGUGGGCCAGUCUGUGAGCCGUGGCUCUAGACACUGUGGCUUUUGGACUUCAUGGAGUCAAGGGCAGCCCUUCGCAGAACCAGGCCAGGCAGAACUGUAGAGUAGGCCAUGGUCCUCACUACUGCUACUCUCCAGAGGCUCUCCACCUUCUAGGCACGUGGUAGGAUUAGAUUUCCAGGUCUCCUGUGGUUGGGUUGAGGCAGGGAGCUAGUUCAGGGCAGAAGUGGCACAGACCCCUUCCGAGAUGCAUAUCUCAUCACCUGCAUGAGACCCUCAAGGACUCUCUUUUCUCCUGAGUAGGCCCAGAGGCCGUCCAGGGACCAGUAGUGGGGCAGCCCUGCUACGCUCCACACCUGAUGUGUCCAAGGCAACUGCCCCAUGUGUCACCAUUUCUCCAGACAGCAGGAAGGGGACAGAGGGCGUGCAGCUGGUCUUUAGGGAAGUGACUUAGAGUUGUUUUUGUUGACAUCUCGCAGCCUAAACUGUCACGUGGUCACGCAUCCCACAGUGGCUCCUGGGAAAUGUAGUUUCUAGUGCAGCAGCCUCGUGCCCUGCUGAAAUGCAGCGAGGUUUAUUAUUCAAAUGGAAAAGGAGGCAAGGAUGCUUGGGGCAGUUAGUGGUCUUUGACUCACUGUCCCACUCUAAAUAGCUCCUGGCUCUCCUCCACAGGCCCUGGCUGCCCACAGCCCACCCCCGAGCUGGCUGGACAUGGGGACCUUCCUCAUCCUUCCAGCUCUGAAUGACCUGGCACAAAACAUGUCUCUUCCAGGCCUUCCUUUUCCUCAUUUGUAAAAGAAGGGCUUUCAACCAGUGAUCACUGAGGUUCCUCCCAGCACUGACAUUUGAUGACUUGUGGUUUUGGGCAAGUUGUUUAACCUCUCCAGAUUUCCAUUUCCUCAUCUAGAAAAUAGAGAUAAAAAUAGUUCUUACCUCAGAGGGUUGCCGCGAAAUCAUCUAGGGUUAUGCCUGACAUAUAAGAAAUAAUCCAUAAGCGUCUGCUAUAAUCAAAAUAAUCUGAGUUCCGCUUGUCAGCUCCUUAGAAAGAAUCUGAUGAACUUGCCCGUGCUGAGGCCUAAUACAGGGUCAGUGAGUGUUUGGCACAAGUGCUGCCAUUAUUCUCUCUCUGUAACAGACAUCACCAAUCAACCAAGAUAUUCUCUGGAUGAGCCAGGGUGCAGCCUCACAGUCCACAGCGCCGCCCUCGCACAGCCCCCAUUCGAUCCAAGGCUCCGUCCCCUCCUUUGGGAAGCCCUCCUGCUUCCACCCCACGCGUGUUCCCAAAGCGGCCUACACAUACCCUGUCGUGGCUUUUUUUAGGCUGAGUUGUGAUUUUUCCUUUUGCUUGUCGGUGCCCCGACUAGACUGUGAGUUCCAUGAGGCAGGGACUGCAAUUGGUCUCUCAAAGGUCUAGCCUGAUGCCUGGAACAUUGUAUAUGUUAAAAAAUGAAUCCUCGAUCCUGUGGCUGGCGAGUCGGGGAGAAGUUUGGGGGACGGGCAGUGGGCUGUAGGACUGCCUCACUGACGACCGUAUUCCCUGCCUCUGGAAGCCCCUGCAGGAGCUGUGGGUCAUGUCUCCCCAGCCAGAUCUCCCCUGCAGGGCUGGCCGGACACUUCUGAGUGAGCUGGGCUAGCCAGCACACAUGGGGCUGGGAGGAGGCCAACAAACAGGCGGGCCUCCAAGACCGCUCCGGGGAAGCUGCCCUCCCCAGGGUGCACAGGUGUCUGCUUGCACCUCAGGCUCCAGGCUCCAGGGCGCUUCCAACUUAACGACUAAUGGACCUGCGGGAGCUCGGACACCUGCUUUCUGCUUUCACAGACCACUGCCCAGCAUCACCUUGGUGACAGAACGGAGAAUGGGCGGGGGAGGUCGGGGGCAGGAGAGGGCCAGGGAGAGGGCCAGCCAUCUGCCUGGUUAGCCCGGAAGGGUGCUGACUGCAGGGCUCAGGCAGGCCGGGAUGGGACAGCAGCCACAGCUGUGCUGGGGGGAGCCCGCCUUGCUGCAUGGAGAGCUCAUAGACAGGCAGAGGUAUGGUGGCUCAACCCCCACCGGUUCCCAGUCCUGGCACAGAACCACGCGGCACCAUCUGACUUCAGGACAUGGGUCCCAGGGGAAACAGUAUGUGAUCUGAGGGACUGGGAAGGCCUGUGUGUAACCACGUAUCUACCCUCUGGCCUGUGACAGGCCCUGAAAUGCAAGAAUCAGGAGGAAGCCAGGGCGCCUUACAAAGAAUACCUCUUGGCCACCCAAUCUAUCAUUGCAGCAAUUUUAUAGAUAAGGAACCUGAGGCUUGGGAAGGCUGACUUCCAGAGGUCACAUAAUUUGGAAACAAGGUCACAUACCUCCAGGCAUAGGGCUUGUCUCUCCGUCCGCAGGCCUCUGCAGUGAGGACCCGUUCCUCAGGCAGUCGUUGAUGCCAUUGUCCUGCAGCAGAAAAGAUCUGAUGGGCAAGAGUCACCAAAGGAUAACUAACAAUUAUUAAAUAGUUAACAUUUUCUUUCCUUGAUCUCAGGUGAUCCAAACAGCACCUGGGCCAGGGGCUGGGGAUCAAGAUAGGAGCAAACCACGGACCCUGACCUCCAGGACUCUGGAGCGGGCGGUGGACUCAGAGCUGCCGUGUAGUGGUGCCUGUGGAGUGUUCAGUGAUGAGCUGGUGGCUUCUCCACUGGCAGCCUUGGGCAAAUAAGAAUAAUCAUACAUACAUACAUAUGCCUGGUAUACGGGAAGGAAUGUGUUAAACUCCAUUUGUGGGCUCUCCCUUCACCCCCACCCUUGCCAUGCCUGCCACCAGCCCUCUCAGGGCUCAGCCAGUGCCAUCCAUUGCUUCUGGGAGGGUUAGGAUUGUUCCAACAGGAACCGUACACGGCCCCUGGAAGAGAGGUACCAGCCAUACCCCUAGGCUUGGCUCAGGGCUUCUGACCCUGCAUGGCAACCCCUCAACUUCAAUGACCCAAGAUACCUCGGCAAAUUACUCAUCUUCCUGAGCCCCUCUUUUCUCAUUUUGUGAAACGGGGUCAGGAUUCCACUUUGCCUGGAACGUCCUGUGUCCUCACCUGUACUUAUUCCUCAGAACAGAUUGCUGGAAGUGGGAGUCCUGGAUCAAAGGGCAUCAGCACUUUUAAGGCUGGUGCUGCAUAUUGCCAAAUGGUUAUCCGGAGCGAUUGUGUCAGUUGAGAAUUCUGCCAGCAGUAGGUGAAAGCACUUCUUUCCCUGCAUCCUCUUCAACACGGAGAGUUAGCUUUUCCAGAGUGUUUCCAGUUUGAUGGGUAACAAAGGCAUCCACCCUGUGAUUAAGCAUGCUGUGUGCUGGUUUAAGUUCAGGUUCUAGGGGCAGACUGAUGGGUGUAGUCCCGGCCCUGCCCCUAGGGCCAUAUGGCCCUGUUCACACUAGGCCACACUCCUUGGCCUCGGUUUCUUCAUCUGUAGGAUGGGGUUACAUUGUGGAAUUGUUGUGAGAAUUAACUACCUUAACGUAAGCUGUGUGGAGCACGGUAGGUGCUUAAUAAAUGUAUCAUCUCUACUUCUUUGGCUAGCGGUAAAGUUGAACUUUCAUAUUUCUUAUCUUUCUUCUCUGACAGGUAACGUGUUUGUUGUUUGUCCACUCUUCUAUUGCAGUACAGGACUUUUUCUUACUGAUCUUUUAAUAAGUCUUUAUCUGUUAAUUACAUGAACACUAGGUCCUCUAAAUUUUAAUUCCAGAUGCCCAUCACCUACAAGCGUUUAAAACUAAAAUCCAUCUCUGUGGGUGAGGCCAGGUUGUUAGCAUUCCCGAGGCCAUUCUCCUAGGUAGCCAGGGCUGGGAUAUGGUGGUCUAGUUUUGUAUCAUCAUCUGCUUGCUAACUUAGUUUUAUAAGCAGCUUGAGGUACAGAAGUUUAAAUGUUAUGUGUGCAGCCACGUUCAUCUUUCUUUUCCUUUAUGAUUUCUUCAGUAUCUUUCAUGUUUAAGGGGUUCCUCCUGUUUCUCCUGGUUUGCCUUUCCCAUUCAGAUGGUCACGUGUUUCUUCUGUUUCUGCGGUGGCUGCGCGUCUCACUUCCUGUGUGAUCUUGGCAGUGUGCUGGACCCUCCUGGGCUUCUGUUUCCCCAAAAUGAGGGGGGUUGGGCUAAAUCAGACUUUGCCAAAGGCAUCCGAGAUGCUUUGUGGAAAAAAGGUUUCCUGGCCAAGUAAGUUUGGAAAAUGCACAUUAUGUCAAAAGUUCUGAGAAACAGCACAGAAAAGCAGGGUGACCCAGCAGUUUCUCUCCUGGGUAUAUGCCCAAGAAAAUUGAAAACAUGUCCACACAGAACUUGUACACAAAUGUUCGUAGUGGCAUUGUUCAUAAUAGUUAAGCAGUGAAUACAAUCCGAUGUCCAGGAACUGAUGAAUGAAUAACCAAACUACCCACACAAUGGAAUAUUAUUCAGUCAUAAAAAGGAAUGAAGUGCUGAUUCAUGCUCAGCAUAAACAAACCUUGCAAACAUUAUGCCAAAUGAAAGAAGCCAGUCCUGAAAGACCAUGUAGUAUAAUUCCAGCUAUACAAAAUGCCCAGGUUAGGCAGAUCUGUAGAGACAGAAAGUAGGUUAGUGGCUGCCCUGGGCAGAGGGACUUGGGGGGAAAUGGGGAAUGACUGCUGAUGGGCACAGGGUUUUUCUGGCGGAUGAGAAGAUGUUCUAAAGUUAGAUUGUAUUGAUGGGGUACAACUCUGUGAAUACACUAAAAGCCAGUGAACUGUACAGUUUAAAGGAAUAAGUUUUAUGGCAUGGGGAUUAUGUUGCAUAAAGCUGUUAAAAAAGAAAAGAAAAGAAAGGAAAGAAAAAGAAAGGAAGGGAAGAGAAAAGAAAAGAAAGGUUAGGACUCUGGAAGAGCUGGGUGCUUCCCAACUUUGUGUCCACCUAUUCCCAGGACCUGGAGCAAGAUUUUUUUUAAGCCUUUUCAACCCUUGGUUUCCUCCUCUGAAGAGCACAGCUCAGAGCACGACUCUGCGUUGUGCAGAUGAAAAAGACACUUCCACAUCUGCUCCUUGCAGCGUCUCCAGGAAGAGGCGGAAGCCAGAGAAACGAAAUCGGAGGCCCCGCGAGGCUGGCUUGCCUAGGUUCACAUAGCCGCUAAGUGGUGUGGUGUCGGGAUUUGAAUUUGUUUCUCUCAGGCCGGUCACUUGGAAUGACGCUGGCCCAGCUGGGCUCAUGGGUUGCAGAGAGAUCUGCAGCAAUAAUGCAGAGUGUGCUCUGAGAGCCGAAAGGGGCUCUACAGAUGGGGUGCGUGCUAGCCAGUGAGGAUGGGAGAGGUGUGUCGGGGAGAGCCACACCUGUACCCACUUCCUCUGAGGCUGGGACAGCCUUGUCCCAACCUGCAGGCCCUGAGCUUUGUGUUUCUUCUUGUUGAAAUGGGAGGCCAAGUCUUACCUCAUGGCAGCUGGUGGGAGCUCCUAGUAAUGGCAGCCCCCGCUUUGAGUGUUUACCAGGUGGCCUGCGCUCUGCUGGACUCAGGGCCUCACUGGGCUAAGGCUCGGGAGAGCCUGUGAGUUCAGUGUGGUCACCCUCUUUCACAGAGGAGCAAACCAGCCAUCGUGCCACUGUUACAUAUUCCUUGAAGAGAUGAUUAAAGGCCAUAUAGUAUUCUGUCUUAGGCAUGUACCUCCUUUCACUGUUUCUCUAGUAUUUGACAUUUGUUCCUAUUUUAUUUUAAAAUGCAAACAACGCUGUGAUGGACAAACUUACAUAUACAUUUUUGUGCACCUCUGCUUAUUUCCUUGAGGUCGAUGCCUGGAAGAGGAAUUACCAGGUGAAAGGGUAUGAACUCAUUUACUGUUCUUCGUGUGUUGCCAGGCGGCUUUCCAGAAAAGAAAGGCUGAGACAUCCACAUUCCCACGAGCAGCAUUGGCCACGCCAGUGGGGGUAGAUUAGUAACCAGCUUGGGCGUCUGUUCUCUCUCGUCCAUUGGGAUGAUCCCCUGAAAACUGACCUGAUCUCACACUUGUUAAAACUUAUCUUAACUAGUAACUGGAAAUACUCAAUUCCAUGAAUCUAUUCUAUGGGUUUAUGGAAAUCCCCAGGGCACCUUCCCACGGAAGCCUAAUUGGUAAAGUAGAUAAUACAUCAAGAGGGAGUUGAUUUAUUAUCUCCCCCUCCUGCUGACAGCCUCCUAUCAGAAACGUUGUGCUGAGAUCUCAGGUGCCAUCUGCUGCUUGAAAUUGCCAGUCCUUGUGAGAAGUACGGGCCUUUGAGUCUGUCGUCUUCCAUCCAGUCAAUCAUAACAAUUCCUAACGUGUACUGAGUAUUUACUCAGUAAGCUGUGUGUAUUAAGUAAUUAAUCCUGAUAGCAAUCCUAUGAGAUAGACCUUAUUAUUAUGCCCGUGUUAACAGGGGGAUGAGGAAAUGAAGGCUCAGAAAGGUCGAGUAACGUGUCUGAGGUCACACAGUGAGUGAGUAGGUGGUAGAUUAGGGAUUUGAUUCCAGACAGUCUGACUCUACAGACCGUAGCCUCACCCAGCACCGUGUACCGCUGCUGUACUGUCUGGUGAUGGGCAACAGGUACUCUUGGUCAACCAGUCUUGAAUUGGCAGGAGGGUACAGAGACCUGAGACCCCAUGGCUGGGGCCAGCUUCUGGUCAGCCCCUGUGAGAACAGCACUGACAGGGAGAUUCAGCAACACCUGAGACGACCUAGUGAGGUGUUGGUGUCCAUCAGAGGAGGCAAGGUACAGAAAACAGAUGGAAAAUGGUUUUUAUCCAUUUUCCUUUGCGUUCAGUGGAAGGGGAUGUUUCCUUGUACCUCUUUCUUGGCUACCAAGAGUGACCAGUACUAAGGAUCGAUGUAGCCACCAAGAUUCUCUAGGGUCCUGCCUAGCCGUGCCCACUGCAUUCUGCCCCCGUCCCAGCAGGGCUGAGGAGUGCGGUGUGUGUGGGCACGUGUGUGCCAGUGUGUGUCACUCGUGCUCACCUCCGGUUUGCUGAAGCAGCGUUGAGCCCUGGGCCUGGCCUGGGGAGGAAGCGCUGUGCUGGCCUGGCGUGGCACUGGGCAUGGCAUGUGCUCAGAGAGGUGACAAAGCCGGGAGGGGCCUGAUGGGUGCCUGGAGAGUGAAGAGAUGGCUCAGCAAAGGCCUCAGCCCACCUCUUCCAUGAGUUCCCACUGCACUGUCAGCUCUGUGAGAGCUGGGGCCCUGCUGCUUGUCGGCUGCCACGUCCCCCCUGGUAAAUAGUUGACAAAUGUUGGGUGGAGGCAGGUGCGCUAUGAACAGAGGCUUCAAUUUUUUGGUGUCAGGAAAAUAGACAUAAAGCCCAGGAAGGGAAAGUCGGACGUGGAAGAAAAGAGCCGUGAAGGGAAGUGACGUGAGAUGCUGUGUGUUGGACCUGGGAUGACGAAGUGUAACCUGGAGCCUGCUUGCCAGGAAGAGAAGCGAGGUCCUUGCGUGAGCACACGGUGGAAACGAGACGUCAAGAGCAGCACGAAGUAGGGCCCCAGCGAGCCGUCGUCCCACCACGCUGCCUCACCCAAAACAAGCUGGGCUUUUCUUGCCUGUCUCCACGUCGCCUGCAGACGGCUGCGGAUGCCCGUGGCGGGCUGGGGUGGGAGGAAGGCCAGGAGGGGAGGCUUCAGAACUAGAGACUCCUUCCGGAAGGAGACUCCUGAGAGAUGCUGGACAAAGCGUACACAUUCACAUGCUCCGGGAUGAGAAAACCAAGUCAAAUGCCUGUUCCUGAAAGGGAACCCACUGGCCCCUGAGAUGCCAGUCUGCACCCCCCGAGCUGAGGGGACGGGGAGCAGGUCCUCAGAGUGAAGGCUUAGGGAAUCAGAGGUGAGGCUAGAAGAGGCAGUGCACGUGUAGAACGGGUUCAAGACCCACCUCCGCGGCUUAGGAGGGAGUGGCAUCACCAAGUUACUGAACUCUGAAACUCUGAAACCCGCAUCUGUACAGCCAGCGUACCGAAAGCAUUCAAUUCAGUAGGCUGGGGUGGAGAUAACAGGGGAUGAAAUGUAUGUGGCGAACUCCUGGUGCCCUGAUGGGUCUCGUUUGGGGCCAGCCAAGUCCCCGCAUGGGAGGCUGUGCCUGGCCCAGGCCUCCUCCUGGGCGGCAGGUCUCGGGAGGGCCCGAGGCCCGGGGAAGCCAGGCUGCAAACCCGGCAGCAGAGCAGCAGGGCGGUAGCUGCUGCCUUUCAUCUGUCAGGCUUCCCUUCAGGAGAGGGCACGGCUCACAGACUCUAACCACUCAGGCUUCCGGUGCUCCUGCGUGGGUUUCUCGAGAGCCCAACCCUACAGGCCCCGCCUGCCCUGAUCCAGCCGCGGCCUGGGAUGCUGGGGGGAAGGAGAGUCAGGGAUUCCUUUAGGCCGGAGUUUCUCAAACUUGAGUGCGCCUCUGAAUCACCUGGGGGCUUGUUAGUGGACUAUGGGGCCCCCUCCCAGAGGUUCUGACUCAGUGGGUCUGGAGUGGGGCGUGAGAGUCUGCAUUUCUAACCAGUUCCGGGGUGAUUCACACCUUGAGGACCACUGUGUUAGGCUUAUCUCUGCCAGGCCUUCUCCCAAUUCCACCCAACACGGUGCUGGGGCCUGGCACCGUUCGCACCCGAUGUCACCGGCGAGGGGCUCACAGGAAACUGUGCUGGCUGGUGACUGCUGUGUGGCUUGGUGGGCAGGCCCCCAAUACCUACUGUCACGGCAGAGGCUUAUUUCUGUCCCUGAUCUGGCCCACAGGCCUCUGCCCUUCUGCCAUUCCUCCCCAAACCAGCUCUACGUCCUUAGCCCUUGGCUCCAGAAGGGUACCCAAACCUGGACUGAGUUCGGGGGCUCCUUGCCCCUUGGAGAGAAGGAACUCUUUCGUUCCUCUUCCCUUUGCCUUUUCCCUAGGACACAGCUCCGUCAGCCUUUCAGGCCUCUCCCUGGGCCCCUCCCCACGUUCACCCCAGGAUGGCCUCGGUCCUCUCAGGGCCACCCUCUCGCGUCUCUGAAGCCCCAGCCCUUCCCCCACAUCCCCUUCACCAUGCACGUACCUCACUGGCCCUAGGCUUGAUCUCGCUUGGCUCUGUGGUUGGCCAGGGCCCCCGGUCCGGAGCUCUCCUUCGGCCCCACGAAGGGGGCAGUAAGGGAAGGGCCGAAGGCUCAGGAUUGUGUUGGGAAAUGCUUGCCCCCUGCGGAUCCACCUGCAAAGUACGUAUGAAGCCAUUACUUAACAAAGGGAAAGGCAGUUAAGGAGCUCAAUAAAUAUUUUUUGAAUAAGGGAACACAAAUCUCCUCUCCAUGCUGCACACUCAAAAACGCCUCUGAUGAGAAAGCACUUUGAUUCUGGGAGCCCCGCAGGUGUGCGUGCGAAGCCCUUGAGUGCCGACCCAGAACGGGAAACGGGAGCCCCAGGCAGGAAGUUUCUCUGGCACCGUGAUUUCCAGUGCGUCCCGUGGCAACGGGUGUGCCAGGCUAAAAACUUCUACACACCCCAAAAAGGGACCUGGGGAUGAUACGCUUGGGAAGCACUGAGCGACAGUGUCAGCUGGUCCCUGUAUUAGGGAGACUUCUCCGAGCCUGGAUCAGGGAGGGGCUUGCUCAGGCCUUGAGGACAAUAUCCCAAGCGUAUUGGCUCCGAGGUCCGUCUGCUGGAUACCUGUCUGGGAACCUGGGGGAACAUAAAUAUGAGGACCGGCAUGAAGGCAGCUUUUAUUUCCCAACAGAGCUCCAUAGGCGCCAGCAUUUGUGCCCAAUGAAGGACAGGGUUUCCUUUCCUUCCAGGCUCCCACCAGCAAGGCCAGAGGGAGGCACGACCCUCACGCCUGACUCCCAAAGAGGUCUCAGCAGAAGUGUAGCGAGAGUUUCCAUCAUCGCACUUGCUUGAGAAGUGUGUCAGAAGAACGCACUGACCAGCUGGGGAAGCUCCUACAGCCUGGGCCCUGGGGUGAGGAGUUGUGGGGCGGAGCCCGUGGAGCCACAGCCGACAGCCUCCCACAGGUGAUGUGAGUGCGAGGGAGAUGUGCGUGGUUGUGAGCCCCCGAGACACUGGGGUUGCUUGUUACCACAGCCGAACUGACACAGUAUCGAGAAGAAGAGGGGUUGGAAUACUACUCAGCCAUAAAAAGGAAUGAAAUCUUGCCAUCGGCAACAACACGGAUGGACCUAGAGGGUAUUAUUCCAAGUGAAAUGAGACA